CGGAUUGGUAAGUCAGGGGUGAAAUCCCACAGCUCAACUGUGGAACUGCCUUUGAUACUGUCAGUCUAGAGUAUAGUUGAAGUUGGCGGAAUGUGUCAUGUAGCGGUGAAAUGCUUAGAUAUGACACAGAACACCGAUCGCGAAGGCAGCUAGCUAAGCUAUAACUGACGCUCAUGCACGAAAGCGUGGGGAUCAAACAGGAUUAGAUACCCUGGUAGUCCACGCUGUAAACGAUGAUUACUCGAUGUUGGCGAUACACAGUCAGCGUCUGAGCGAAAGCAAUAAGUAAUCCACCUGGGGAGUACGAUCGCAAGAUUGAAACUCAAAGGAAUUGACGGGGGCCCGCACAAGCGGAGGAGCAUGUGGUUUAAUUCGAUGAUACGCGAGGAACCUUACCUGGGCUCGAACGUAAGAUGACUGUAGGUGAAAGCUUACAUCUCUUCGGAGCAUUUUACGAGGUGCUGCAUGGUUGUCGUCAGCUCGUGCCGUGAGGUGUCGGGUUAAGUCCCAUAACGAGCGCAACCCCUACCUUUAGUUGCCAUCAGGUCAUGCUGGGGACUCUAAAGGAACUGCCUACGCAAGUAGUGAGGAAGGCGGGGAUGACGUCAAAUCAGCACGGCCCUUACGUCCAGGGCUACACACGUGCUACAAUGGCCGAUACAGAGGGCAGCUACCUGGUGACAGGAUGCAAAUCUCCAAAGUCGGUCUCAGUUCGGAUCGGAGUCUGCAACCCGACUCCGUGAAGUUGGAUUCGCUAGUAAUCGCGCAUCAGCCAUGGCGCGGUGAAUACGUUCCCGGGCCUUGUACACACCGCCCGUCAAGCCAUGGAAGCUGGGGGGACCUAAAGUCGAUAACCGCAAGGAGUCGCCUAGGGUAAAACCAGUGACUGGGGCUAAGUCGUAACAAGGUAGCCG
rnacentral:rRNA from 1 species